UCUUGUCUCAAAGAUUAAGCCAUGCAUGUCUAAGUAUAAGCAACUUGUACUGUGAAACUGCGAAUGGCUCAUUAAAUCAGUUAUCGUUUAUUUGAUAGUACCUUACUACAUGGAUACCUGUGGUAAUUCUAGAGCUAAUACAUGCUAAAAACCCCGACUUCAGGGAGGGGUGUAUUUAUUAGAUAAAAAACCAACGCCCUUCGGGGCUCCUUGGUGAAUCAUAAUAACUUAACGAAUCGCAUGGCCUUGCGCCGGCGAUGGUUCAUUCAAAUUUCUGCCCUAUCAACUUUCGAUGGUAGGAUAGUGGCCUACCAUGGUGGCAACGGGUAACGGGGAAUUAGGGUUCGAUUCCGGAGAGGGAGCCUGAGAAACGGCUACCACAUCCAAGGAAGGCAGCAGGCGCGCAAAUUACCCAAUCCCGAUACGGGGAGGUAGUGACAAUAAAUACUGAUACGGGGCUCUUUUGGGUCUCGUAAUUGGAAUGAGAACAAUUUAAAUCCCUUAACGAGGAACAAUUGGAGGG
rnacentral:rRNA from 1 species